GACGAACGCUGGCGGCGUGCUUAACACAUGCAAGUCGAACGGAAAGGCCCUGCUUUUGUGGGGUGCUCGAGUGGCGAACGGGUGAGUAACACGUGAGUAACCUGCCCUUGACUGUGGGAUAACUUCAGGAAACUGGGGCUAAUACCGGCUAGGAGCUCCUGCUGCAUGGGGGGGGUUGGAAAGUUUCGGCGGUUGGGGCUGGACUCGCGGCUUAUCAGCUUGUUGGUGGGGUAGUGGCUUACCAAGGCUUUGACGGGUAGCCGGCCUGGGAGCGUGACCGGCCUCAUUGGGCCUGCGAGACGGACCAGACUCCUACGUGAGGCAGCAGUGGGGAAUAUUGCACAAUGGGCGGGAGCCUGAUGCAGCAGCGCCGCGUGCGGGAUGACGGCCUUCGGGUUGUAAAGCGCUUUCGCCUGUGACGAAGCUUGAGUGACGGUAAUGGGUAAAGAAGCACCGGCUAACUACGUG
rnacentral:rRNA from 1 species